GCAUCAGUGUAGCAGAGUGGUAAGGAGCAGGGCUCAUAACCAAGAUGUUGCCAGUUCGAUUCCCUGGAGCA